rnacentral:lncRNA from 1 species
UUCAAAAAACAGGGGAAAAGAAAAAGGAGAAAAUUUUCUCCUUGUGAAUUUAAAACAACCGUUGUACUCUAAAAGCUUAAGCUGUUAGAGAACGGUAUUUUAAACAUUUUUAUAUUUAACACUUUCCCUCCUUACAUCUGGGCUCGAGACUUUUUUUGUCGGCCCAUGACGUGAGCUUGAAUUAAAUGGGAGGAAAUUAAUAUGCUAGGAGCCUGGCAUGACUCGAACUCAGAACCUGCUGCUCUGAUAUCAUGUAAAACAACCAUUGUACUCUAAAAGCUUAAGCUGUUAGAGAACGGUGUUUUAAACAUUUUUAUAUUUAACAGUGAACCCUAAAAUCCAAAAAUUUCCUCAUCUCAU